AAUAGGAAAACAACUCUCAAACUACAUUAAAAGCUUUUGAAAACACUUGUGUUUUAAGAAGAGACUUAAAAACUCCAAGAGUUGAGGCCUGUCUGAUGUGAAGAGGCAGCUGGUUCCACAGUUUAGGAGCCACAACUGAAAAGGCUCAAAACUGAAAAGUUCUGGAGAAAUGAUCGAGGUUAUACUGAGAACUGAUCAAGGUUUUACUGAGAACUGAUCGAGGUUAUACUGAGAACUGAUCGAGGUUAUACUGAGAACUGAUCGAGGUUAUACUGAGAACUGAUCGAGGUUUUAAUGAGAACUGAUCAAGGUUAUACUGAGAACUGAUCGAGGUUAUACUGAGAACUGAUCGAGGUUAUACUGAGAACUGAUCGAGGUUUUAAUGAGAACUGAUCGAGGUUAUACUGAGAACUGAUCGAGGUUAUACUGAGAACUGAUCGAGGUUUUAAUGAGAAUUGAUCGAGGUUAUACUGAGAACUGAUCGAGGUUAUACUGAGAAUUGAUCGAGGUUUUAAUGAGAAUUGAUUGAGGUUUUACUGAGAACUGAUCGAGGUUUUAAUGAGAACUGAUCGAGGUUAUACUGAGAACUGAUCGAAGUUUUAAUGAGAAUUGAUCGAGGUUAUACUGAGAACUGAUUGAGGUUUUACUGAGAACUGAUCGAGGUUAAACUCAAAACUGAUCGAGGUUUUACUGAUAACUGAUCGAGGUUUUACUGAGAAUCAAUCGAGGUACUGAGAACUGAUUGAGGUUUUAAUGAAAAAUGAUCUAGGUUUUAAUGAGAAAUUGUUGAGGUUUUACUGAGAACUGAUCGAAGUUUUACAGAGAACUGAUCAAGGUCUUACUCAGAACUGAUUGAGGUUUUAAUGAGAACUGAUUGAGGUUUCAAUGAGAAUCGAUCAAGUUAUAUUGAGAAUUGAUCGUGGUUAUACUGAGAACUGAUCAAGGUUAUACUGAGAACUGACCGAGGUUUUAAUGAGAAAUGAUUAAGGUUUUACUGAGAACUGAUCGAGGCUUUAAUGAUAACUGAUCGAGGUUAUACUGAGAACUGAUCAAGUUUACUGAGAUCUGACCAAAAUUUUACUAAGAACUGAUCAAGAUUUUACUGAAAACUGAGAUUUUUCUGAGAACGGAGGAUGUCCUAAAAGGUACACCUUACUCAGGAUUGAGUUAUCGAGUUGGUAUAACCUGUUCCGAAACCGAAAAUCCUGAGUAUCUCAGAGCAAGUUAGGUUGAUUCAGAGUA